CUGCUGAAAUUGGGAACGACAUUAAACAUUCCACUUGGGAACCGGAGGAAAGUUCAUCAUUAAACCGAGCAGUGACUGCAGAAGCAGAGACAAAGUUAACUCAGAGACCCGCGGACCAAUCGACGAAAACCUCAGCUGAAUUUUCCAUGCCUGCUUCAACAGGAUUUGGGACUUCAACUUUAAAAUCAGUUCCUACGCCAUCCACUCCUAUACGACAUUCUGAUCUUCAGAAUGAUUCUGGGCAAGAAAAAUGCUUGGGAUCUUGUAGUAACCGAAGAUAUUCGAACAGGGUGAUUGUUUGGAGGUGCUGGUAAUCGACUGGGGAUACAAAGUUAAAAAUCACGCUUUUACGAUCUCAUACUCCAUAAACACUAGAUGAAGGAGCAGCACU